rnacentral:rRNA from 1 species
GAUAAUUGGCUUGUGGCGGCCAAGCCUUCAGAGCGUCGUAUGGGUUGAUAUGGGUUCUUGCUAUCAUUGUGAAGCAAAAUACUCCAACCGUUAGACUAUUCACCCAUACAAGUCAAUGUGAGCUGGGUUUAGACCGUCAUGAGACAGAUU